rnacentral:misc_RNA from 1 species
GAUGAAGAACGUAGCGAAAUGCGAUAAGUAGUGUGAAUUGCAGAAUUCAGUGAAUCAUCGAAUCUUUGAACGCUCAUUGCGCCCUUUGGUAUUCCUUAGGGCAUGCCUGUUCGAGCGUCAUUUAAACCUUCAAGCUCAGCUUGGUGUUGGGUGACUGUCCGCUUCACCGCGGACUCGCCUCAAAAUUAUUGGCGGCCGGUACAUUGGCUUCGAGCGCAGCAGAAACGCGAACUCGGGCCCGUCGUAUUGGCUCCCAGAAGCUAUCUUCACAAUUUUGACCUCGGAUCAGGUAGGGAUACCCGCUGAACUUAAGCAUAUCAAUAAGCGGAGGA